rnacentral:rRNA from 1 species
AAUAGAUACCCAGGUAGUCCACGCCGUAAACGAUGAGUGCUAAGUGUUAGAGGGUUUCCGCCCUCUAGUGCUGCAGCAAACGCAUUAAGCACUCCGCCUGGGGAGUACGGCCGCAAGGCUGAAACUCAAAGGAAUUGACGGGGGCCCGCACAAGCGGUGGAGCAUGUGGUUUAAUUCGAAGCAACGCGAAGAACCUUACCAGGUCUUGACAUCCUUUGACCACCCUGGAGACAGGGCUUUCCCCUUCGGGGGACAAAGUGACAGGUGGUGCAUGGUUGUCGUCAGCUCGUGUCGUGAGAUGUUGGGUUAAGUCCCGCAACGAGCGCAACCCUUGAUCUUAGUUGCCAGCAUUGAGUUGGGCACUCUAAGGUGACUGCCGGUGACAAACCGGAGGAAGGUGGGGAUGACGUCAAAUCAUCAUGCCCCUUAUGACCUGGGCUACACACGUGCUACAAUGGAUAGAACAAAGGGCAGCGAAGCCGCGAGGUGAAGCCAAUCCCAUAAAUCUAUUCUCAGUUCGGAUUGCG